CGGGAAGGCGGCAUGUUAACUGUGGCGAGGAGCUUCUGGACCCAGCACCCUCCUCAUUCACAACACCCACAUGCCAAGCCCUGAAUGGCACAGCACUCUGCAGCGUGGAGGGUUCUGGAUGGCCAUCACCCCUGGCCAUCCUGCUCACACUCCUCAGGGGCCCCCACAGCCAGCCUCCCUCCCCCGACCGCCGGCCCCAGCCCCUGACCUUUCAGGGAGUGGUUGUACUCUCAGGGUUCCCUGAACCAGUUCCACUGGGGCAGGCUGCAGCGCCUCUCCUGGCACCAUCCCACGCCUGGCCUGGCCUCCCUCAGGUCUCCCGGUGUCCAGCUGUGGAGCCGGGCCUCGGAUGCCCGUCCUCUUGGAUUACCUGGGUCUUGCCACCGGAGAAGCAGAAGUCUUCAGGCACCGUCGUUUGACGUGCGGUAUAGACUCCUGGGUGCUGCUGUUUUGAUGCCUGUCUGCAGUGAGUCUGACGUCCCCAGGAGGUAAGCACCGUCACGUUCUUUUCUCAGCCCCCCACGGACGCCACUAAGCUGCCACGCCCGGCAAGUGAGUUUUUGCUAAACUGGAUCUUCUGGAAUUGAAGUGUGUGGUUCUGUAGAGCGUCAGGCCCAGAGAGGCAGAAGAAAGACGGCUAGCUGAACCCGGGUUGGUGGAGAAGGUCCCUACCAAGGUGACGCUGACGGAGCGUUCUGUGUGUGCUGGUGAGGACGCAGCCACUCUGGAGGGCGAGGAUGGCCUGGGAGCAGCAAGGCUGGCAAGGAGCUGACCGCAGGCCCUGUUGGGAUGGAGGAAACACGAGGAAGGAAGCAGCAGACUGUUGGGGCGCUCCAGGCCCAGUGUGGGUGAACAUCUGGCUGGCAGAGCGGAGCAAGGCCCGCAGCUCCUCCUCCUCCAGGAAGCCUACCCUGACUGCUCAGCCCCACCUGCACACCGUCCUCUCAGCUGUGACUAUGUUUCAUGUGCAGGCGGCGCACGUUUCCCACUAAGUCCUAAGGUCUCUGUCAAUGGCAACCAUUUUCUCCCUUUGCUUCUCCCACAGGGAGGUAACUCAGCGCUGGGCCUCAGUGGAAACUCCAUCAUGACCUUCCGAUUUGGGAGGCAGGUCAGGGGAAGUGGUCAGACCUGUGCCAGACAUGGGUCCCUUCUGAUGAGUGAGGAUCCCUUCUGAUGAGGUCCCUUCUGAUGAGCCUGGGCCACCACAGGGGAGCAGCCAGAAGAUGAGGGCUUGCCCAGGUCCCCCAGCCCAGUUCCCCAAGAGAGGGGUUGGCUACAGAGUAGGGAGGGGUGGGGGCAGCCUGGGAGAGAAGAGACUGCGGGCAGCGGGCAGCAGCUGCUGUGGGCUCUGGAGGAGCAACUUCACAUCUCUGUCCUUCAAACCAAACCACAAAGACUGGGUUCCUGGGGAGGGGUCCCUGAAAGGGAGGGAAGCCGCCUCGCUCCACGGAGCCAUUCUCACUGCUUAACGAUGCACAACUCAGUAAUGAAGAGAGUCUACCAGACCCAAUAUAAUCUGAAAUUAAAGAAAAAUGGAAUGUAUUAAAAAUGCAUUGCAGCAUUAAUGGAGGAUGUCAGCUUGACAGCCAAGCCGCACGCAUUACGCUCGGCUUGGGGAGCGCGGCUCUGGGCUGCUGGCCCCAGGGCUCUGAACCACAGAAGGACCUAGGGUGGAGGCUGACCUCUCAGAGGAGGUGCCGAUGUGCCCACUGCUUCCUCCACCCCUACGUUCCCCCGCUUCCCAGGGAGCCAUCCA
ensembl:lncRNA